CCUACGGGGGGCUGCAGUGGGGAAUUUUGGACAAUGGGGGCAACCCUGAUCCAGCCAUGCCGCGUGAGUGAAGAAGGCCUUCGGGUUGUAAAGCUCUUUCGGCCGGGAAGAAAUCGCUCAAGCUAAUACCUUGGGUGGAUGACGGUACCGGAAGAAGAAGCACCGGCUAACUACGUGCCAGCAGCCGCGGUAAUACGUAGCGUGCGAGCGUUAAUCGGAAUGACUGGGCGUGGCGCCAGCGCAGGCGGGUGAAAUCCCCGGGCUUAACCUGGGAACUGCGUUUGUGACUGUGGUGCUCGAGUGCGGCAGAGGGGGGUGGAAUUCCACGUGUAGCAGUGAAAUGCGUAGAGAUGUGGAGGAACACCGAUGGCGAAGGCAGCCCCCUGGGUCGACACUGACGCUCAUGCACGAAAGCGUGGGGAGCAAACAGGAUUAGAUACCCUAGUAGUC
rnacentral:rRNA from 1 species